GUGGUUUGUGAUAGUAUUAAAAAUAAAAUCAUAUAUUUAUAAACGCUUACUUGUUUGAAAGGCCAAGUAAUAAAAAAACUUUCUGCAAUAAUCAUAAACAAUGAUUAAUGCGGUACGGUAUUUCCCCUUUAAGACAUUUAUAUAAACGCUGCGGAUCCUCUAUACAGAAGUUAGUUAUAUCAGUAUUAAUUAGUAGUGACAACAGAUAACCUUUAAAAGAAUUACGCGGUAACCAUGAAAUUUUUGUGGCUCUUUCUGAUUUUUGCUCUGGCUUUUCAAGGCCUCCUUGCGAUUCCCUCCAAGAGCACAUCUGGAGGUUCUAGUGGAGGAAGCAGUGGCGCGAACGGUGGUAGAGGCGGCAAUAGUGGAAACAGGGGCGGCGCACAACAUGGUGGUUAUGGAGCUGGCGAUAGGAGUGGCAAUUCAAGAGUUGCUUAGUGACUUUUGGUUGUUAGUUAUUAAUAAACAUAUAUAAUAUGUAUUUUUUUCCUUAAAGUUUAAACACUUUCUACGGAUUGAGAAUUAAAAAUUUGCCUCCCUGUAGAAUGGAUAAUAAUAUUAUAUAUAACGGAGCUCAGGGGAACACAUUUAUACUAGAAAUAAAUUUUUAUGUCAAGGAUAAA